GCCGGGAUAGCUCAUUUUGUACAUACAGCAUGAGACUCUGAAUCUCAGGUUUGUGGGUUCGAGCCCCACAUUGGACA